AUUCCUCUGCGCCGCCCCAUCUCCUCCGAUUCCCCUCCUCUUCUUCGUGCGCGGCGGCCGGCGCGCAGCUCCUGGCGCUGCCGUCCGUCCACCCUGGCUCUCUCAGAUCGGGGCGGGGCAGAGCAGCUCUGCCUUCUUCCCGUCCUCCAUCCACAUACGUGCAGCGACGACCUAGGAGAAGCUCAAGCCACAGUGAUGGUCCACGGCACCGUCGCCGUCGUCCUCGGCAGGAGGAGCACGGACCGCAUAGACGGCCGGCUCCGUCCUGCUCCCAUGCCGCCGUCCGUCCAUCCUUUCUCUGUCUUUUGUUUUCCUUCUCUUUUAGAUCGGGGCGACUGCUAACUCUCUCUCUCAUUCUCAUUCUCAUUUUCGUUGGUGCUGAUGGACACGACCACCUCACGGUGAGUGAGGAAGAUGCUUUACUGCGGGGAGGGAAGCAGCCGCAGAUUGAGGAGGACGGCACAGGUCGCGAGCAUGGUCAUGGCCUUCAGAUUGAGGAGGACGGCACAGGUCAAGCUCAAGCCUGGGAACGCGUCCUGUGGCCAUGCAGCGGCUCUUCUUCACCGUCUGUCACUUUGACAACGACUGCUACGUCCAGCACGACUCCAACCUCUUCCUCGGUCUCCGCCUAUGCUCCACCGGCACAAUCAGUAUAGUCAAGGUAUGAGUGGAUAGAGGCAGGGAGGAUGGGGAAGGAGACAAGCAGGAGGAAGAGAGAUUCUCGGUAGCACGCCCGCGGACCACCUUCUGAACUUACGAGACUCGGUUAUUUUUAGCACAUAGUUUUGACAAAAUUGUUCUGACUGUGCAUCUUGAGAGAGUCCAUGCCAAUGCAAAUCUUACAGUUCUCAGAACUCGUUCUGAAAUAUGCAGCAAGGCUCGGUUACAGUGUGUGGUCUUGGAAUGAGAGUUACAAUAUUGCCUUUGUAGUUGCAUGGGUAUCAGUUUUGUUAGUACCGAUCCUUCCAAACUAAAGAUUAGAGAGAUAAAAAUGUUGCACCUGAAGGGCCAGGAGUGAACUACUCAACUCAGUUCUAUAACAAUCAUACUGAAAAUCUUCUUGCAUUAUGAGGUAUUAUAGAGCUUUUACAUUUGCAUCAAGUAGGUAAAUCAAAUACUGGAUACGAGCAUUUUUUUACCUGAGGACUAUUGGCACUGGGAUGAUGGUCUUGAAAGCAAAUGAUUUUUUUACUCAGGUUGGACAGUGGCAACCCUUAUGCCGAUUAGUGUUAUAGCAGGCUUAUACUAAUUUCACAUGGUUUUAACUUUUAGGAUCCCAUGAUUAUGGGAGUUAAGAAAUUAUCCCUUUGUAGAUUUCAGUGAUCAAAUCAUUUGGUUAGUAUGUGUCUUGGUAAUUUUCUUGUUAGUUUGACAAGGAAUAUGCCUGUGGUAUCAUACAUGAUUAUGGGAAAGAAGGAAAACAAAUGGAAGUCUUCCUCCCUCAGUUUUUAUCCUUGAUUCUUCUGGUCUUGAUAGUCUUAUUUUGAUUUCUCAAUUUAUGGUUUUUCUAUACACAUGUGUGCAGAUUUGAGAAAGAAGAGAAGAGAAAUAAUCUUCAGGAAGAGUUUGGUGAAGAAUAAGGUCAUAUCAGCUCCAUAUCAUGUUGCAGAGGAAAAACUUCUCACCAUAUUCAGGCAUCUGUGGGAAGGCUGGUUUUUUUUUCACUUUCCAAUCGAUGAAGUGCAUUCAAUUGAUAAAGUAGAUUUAGUUGUUGUGGCGGCACAAGCUCGGCAGCGGCUGCUAUGACCCCAAUCUUUGGAUUAUUAUAAGCCUAGGCUGAUCGUGCACGAGGUGAAGAUGCUCACGCCUAAAGCCAAACCUGACGCCCUCGACGCCACCAUCCCGGAGCUCAUCUAGCUUCAGAUGGGGCUGCCGUUGUAGUUUCUGUACUGGUGGUUGUGGUGGUAAUUAUUACAUUGUGCCUUUGCAGGAGAAGAACUGAAAAUGGUGACUUAUAUUGACUGGAAACCAAGUACUUGUCUAAUUAUUGUUCAGGAAAAAUAUAGUGUAUCAUGUUCUUGGUUGCUAAUAUUGUAGUACCUAUGCAAAUCCUUCUGUCAGACCGCUGAAUGGAAAUAACUCAAAAGAAGAGAACGGAGAUGUUGUCUCUUUGCAAUUCGAUAACCGUCAGUUCAGUUACUAAGAACUCAAGACCAUCACAAAUAGAUUCGAGAAUUCCAUUGGCAAACGUCAGUUUGGAGUUGUCUAUCUUGGCUACUUGGAACAUGGAAACCCAGUUACUAUUACUGUUGUUUGGUAUUUGGACAUAUCUUUCUGAGAGGGAGAUGGGAACAGACAAAUUCGGGGAGAUGGGAACCGACAAAUUCAGUGAAGGUUGGCUGCGCGUAAACUAUUGUGAUCAAGUUGGGAACAAAUGUUUCCUCUAACUCCUCGUGUUGGAGACUGGGGUUAGGAGUGGAAGUGAUCCGUUAACAAACAAGAACUUGGCAGAAGCUAUACAUAUGCAAAUAGAGGUUCAGACACAGCUCCAUGAACAGCUAUAGGUGUCUUCUUUGUUCCUGUUUUUGAGCUCUAAUUGGAUGAUGCUGUUGUCGGCGUAUAUUUUUUAUGGUAGGAGCAUUUUUUUCUAGCUUCACAAUAAUUAAUGUGCUUUGUGUAGGUAUGAACCCAAAUCCAUAUUUAAAUGGGUGCUAAAUAUUUUUGCGGCA